GCCAUAACCAACAGAAACAGAGCGCAUAAGAAAAAAAAAGAGACACCAGGAGGAGGAGAGAAACAGAGAUGGCAAUGGCGACCGCACUUCGCAGACUCUCUUCUUCAGUACACAACCAGCCAAUCCAUCGUGUCUUCAAUGGCGGCUCAUUCUACUACCUGUCGUCUUUGCCGAACGAAGCUGUCUAUGAGAAGGAAAAAUCGCGCAAAUCAUGGCCAAAGCAAUUGAAUGCUCCGCUUGAAGCUGUCGAUCCUGAGAUUGCCGACAUCAUCGAGCUCGAAAAAGCUAGACAGUGGAAGGGACUUGAAUUGAUACCGUCAGAGAAUUUCACAUCCGUCUCUGUGAUGCAAGCAGUUGGAUCAGUAAUGACUAACACCAUCAGUGAAGGAUAUCCAGGUGCUAGAUAUUUUGGAGGAAAUGAGUAUAUUGACAUGGCAGAAUCCUUAUGCCAGAAGCGUGCUCUAGAGGCAUUUCGGUUGGAUCCUGCAAAAUGGGGAGUGAAUGUGCAGUCCCUAUCUGGGUCUCCAUCUAAUUUUCAAGUUUACACUGCUUUAUUAAAACCUCAUGAAAGAAUCAUGGCUCUUGAUCUUCCUCAUGGUGGGCAUCUUUCACAUGGCUAUCAGACGGACACAAAGAAGAUAUCUGCAGUAUCAAUAUUUUUUGAGACAAUGCCAUACAGAUUGAAUGAGAGCACUGGCUAUAUUGACUACGAUCAGCUGGAGAAAAGUGCAACACUCUUCAGGCCAAAACUGAUAGUUGCCGGUGCUAGUGCUUAUGCACGUCUCUAUGAUUAUGCACGCAUUCGCAAGGUCUGUGACAAGCAGAAAGCUAUUAUGUUGGCAGAUAUGGCACACAUCAGUGGGUUGGUAGCAUCUGAUGUCAUCCCAUCUCCCUUUGACUAUGCUGAUGUGGUGACCACCACAACCCACAAGUCACUUCGUGGGCCACGUGGUGCCAUGAUUUUCUUCAGGAAAGGGCUGAAGGAGAUUAAUAAACAAGGACAAGAGGUGAUGUAUGACUAUGAAGACAAAAUCAAUCAGGCAGUCUUUCCUGGACUUCAAGGUGCCCCACACAAUCACAAAAUUACCGGCUUAGCAGUUGCACUGAAACAGGCUGUAACUCCGGAGUACAAAGCCUAUCAAGAGCAGGUUCUCACUAAUUGUUCAAAGUUUGCACAGACUUUAAUGGAGAAGGGUUACGAACUUGUUUCUGGUGGGACUGCGAACCACUUAGUUUUGGUGAAUUUGAAAAAUAAGGGUAUUGAUGGUUCCAGAGUUGAAAAGGUGUUGGAAUCUGUUCACAUUGCAGCCAACAAAAACACUGUUCCUGGAGAUGUGUCUGCCAUGGUUCCUGGUGGCAUCAGGAUGGGAACCCCCGCUCUUACUUCCAGGGGAUUUGUCGAGGAGGAUUUUGCCAAAGUUGCCUACUUUUUUGAUGCUGCUAUAAAGUUGGCUUUAAAGAUAAAGGCUGAAACUAAAGCUAGGAACGAAGUUGAAAGACUUUUUGGCAACAAUGCAAUCUAGUGCUCCCAUCCAAUAUGAGAUUGUGAACCUGAAACAUGAUGUUGAAGAGUAUGCAAAACAAUUCCCAACAAUUGGAUUUGAGAAAGAAACCAUGAAAUACAAAAAUUAAAUGCUGCUGCACCAGGUACCAAAUGUAAAAAAACAGAUGAUUAUACCAGUUGAUGAAGGGGGAUGGUGAAAGUAAUGUGUGGGCAACAUGUUAAGGAUGUGAACUUAAAGCUUUUAUCUAUAAUUACCAAUAGAAUCUUGUGUUCCAUCUCCAUGAAAUUGUAUAUGUAUAUUAACUUGAGGACCCUGCAAAUCAAUAAACUUCCUUUGAUUACAAAAAGAGCUGCUUCA